rnacentral:rRNA from 1 species
UGCACAUGGGCGCAAGCCUGAUGCAGCCAUGCCGCGUGUAUGAAGAAGGCCUUCGGGUUGUAAAGUACUUUCAGUUGUGAGGAAGGGGGUGGUGUUAAUAGCGGGAUCUCUUGACGUUAGCAACAGCAAGAAGCACCGGCUAACUCCGUGCCAGCAGCCGCGGUAAUACGGAGGGUGCGAGCGUUAAUCGGAAUUACUGGGCGUAAAGCGCAUGCAGGUGGUUCAUUAAGUCAGAUGUGAAAGCCCGGGGCUCAACCUCGGAACUGCAUUUGAAACUGGUGAACUAGAGUGCUGUAGAGGGGGGUAGAAUUUCAGGUGUAGCGGUGAAAUGCGUAGAGAUCUGAAGGAAUACCAGUGGCGAAGGCGGCCCCCUGGACAGAUACUGACACUCAGAUGCGAAAGCGUGGGGAGCAAACAGGAUUAGAUACCCUGGUAGUCCACGCCGUAAACGAUGUCUACUUGGAGGUUGUGGCCUUGAGCCGUGGCUUUCGGAGCUAACGCGUUAAGUAGACCGCCU